rnacentral:lncRNA from 1 species
UGAAAAAGCUCAGUUUAGAGUUUAAAACUCUAAUGCUGGCUGAAAGGAAGAUUCAGUUUAGGGUUUAAAACCCUAAUGCUGAUUGCAUGAAAAAGCUCAGUUUAGAGUUUAAAACCCUAAUGCUGGCUGAAAGGAAAAAGUUCAGUUUAGGGUUUAAAACCCUAAUGCUGACUAAAAGGAAAAUUCAGUUUAGGGUUUAAAACCCUAAUGCUGAUUGCAUGGAAAAGCUCAGUUUAGGGUUUAAAACCCUAAUGCUGGCUGAAAGGAAAAAGUUCAGUUUAGGGUUUAAAACCCUAAUGCUGACUAAAAGGAAAAUUCAGUUUAGGGUUUAAAACCCUAAUGCUGAUUAAAGGAAAAGUUCAGUUUAGGGUUUAAAACCCUAAUGCUGAUUGCAUGGAAAAGUUCAGUUUAGGGUUUAAAACCCUAAUGCUGGCUGGAAGGAAAAAAGUUCAGUUUAGGGUUAAAAAACCCUAAUGCUGACUAAAAGGAAAAAGUUCAGUUUAGGGUUUAAAACCCUAAUGCUGACUAAAAGGAAAAUUCAGUUUAGGGUUUUAAAACCCUAAUGCUGAUUGAAUGAAAAAGCUCAGUUUAGAGUUUAAAACUCUAAUGCUGGUUGAAAGGAAAAAGUUCAGUUUAGGGUUUAAAACCCCAAUGCUGACUAAAAGAAAAAUUCAGUUUAGGGUUUAAAACCCCUAAUGCUGAUUGAAUGAAAAAGCUCAGUUUAGAGUUUGAAACUCUAAUGCUGGUUGAAAGGAAAAAGUUCAGUUUAGGGUUUAAAACCCCAAUGCUGACUAAAAGGAAAAUUCAGUUUAGGGUUUAAAACCCUAACGCUGAUUGCAUGAAAAAGCUCAGUUUAGAGUUUAAAACUCUAAUGCUGGCUGAAAGGAAAAUUCAGUUUAGGGUUUAAAACUCUAAUGCUGAUUGCAUGAAAAAGCUU